AGGCAGCAACAGCACUUCUCAUCCCUGGAUGACAAGCCCCAGUUUCCAGGGGCCUCGGCGGAAUUUAUUGACAAGCUAGAGUUCAUCCAGCCCAAUGUCAUCUCUGGAAUCCCCAUCUACCGCGUCAUGGACCGCAGGGCCAGAUCAUCAACCCCAGCGAGGAUCCCCAACUGCCCCAGGAGAAGGUGCUCAAGUUCUACAAAAGCAUGACCCUGCUCAACACCAUGGACCGCAUCCUCUAUGAGUCCCAGCGGCAGGGCCGGAUCUCCUUCUACAUGACCAACUAUGGUGAGGAGGGGACGCACGUGGGGAGUGCUGCGGCCAUGGACAACACGGACCUGGUGUUUGGCCAGUACCGGGAGGCAGGUAUGUCUGCUAGAGGCCUGGGUCUGUGGUCACUACCGAA